rnacentral:lncRNA from 1 species
GCUGGAAGUAAAGCAGAGUCCUGGCGGAGAUGAGAGAGUGGAAUCUGGUCAGAGCUACAACAGUAUUUCCUUCAUUCAAGCAAUGUGUUUUCUCCAUAGAAAAACAAAAAAACUGAUGACUAAACUAAGGCCCGAGGAGGCAAAGUGACUUGCACAUGAUCAUAAUGGCAGAGCCAAGAUUGGAAAUCAGGUCAUGGAAAUCUCAAAGCAAUUUUCUUUAUUCUACAUUAUACUGCAUAAAAUCAAACCUAAAAUGUAGUGGUAUGCUUUGAUGCUCUAAAAGAGAACUCUGCGGUGAGCUCUCAUGGAGCAAAAGACAUCUGGGACCAGUGCAACUCAAGGCAUCUUUACUGGCAAAAUCUGAAUGGAUGAGACUUGUUUCCUUGCCAAGGCAUACAACAUAUACACAACUCUUUGUGACCUCUAAAUGGACAAUUAUUG